rnacentral:rRNA from 1 species
CCUACGGGUGGCAGCAGUAGGGAAUCUUCCACAAUGGGCGCAAGCCUGAUGGAGCCACACCGCGUGAGUGAAGAAGGGUUUCGGCUCGUAAAGCUCUGUUGUUGGAGACGAACGUGCGUGAGAGUAACUGUUCACGCAGUGACGGUAUCCAACCAGAAAGUCACGGCUAACUACGUUCCAGCCGCCGAGUUAAUACGUAGUUGGCAAUCGUUAUCCGGUUUUUUUGGGCGUAAAGCGAGCGCAGGCGGUUGCUUAGGUCUGCUGUGAAAGCCUUCGUCUUAACCGAAGAAGGGCAUCGUAAACCGGGUGACUUGAGUGCAGAAGAGGACAGUGGAACUCCAUGUGUAGCGGUGGAAUGCGUAGAUAUAUGGAAGAACACCAGUGGCGAAGGCGGCUGUCUGGUCUGCAACUGACGCUGAGGCUCGAAAGCAUGGGUAGCGAACAGGAUUAGAUACCUAGUAGUC